GUUGUUAUGGCAAAGUGGAACAGUGUCUGACAGUUAACGCAAUGGUUGUAGUUUAAAAAUUUACUUAACUAAUUAAUUUAAAAAUAUAUACCUCUAUAUUUUAACAUCUUCAAAAGAUAAAAAUAUAUUAUCAGAAAAGUUACAUGAAAUGCUAACAACAAAGUUGUAACAAGCAUAAAAAUUUAACAUAGCUUGAUAAGAACAUAAUAUGUUCAGUGUUUGGAUAGUUUCCAAAAGGUGCAGGUUGGAAUCCUGCUAUAAGCA
rnacentral:tRNA from 1 species